rnacentral:rRNA from 1 species
CGAACGCUGGCGGUAUGCUUAACACAUGCAAGUCGAACGGUACCUUCGGGUAUAGUGGCGGACGGGUGAGUAACGCGUGAGAAUCUGUCUUCAGGUCGGGGACAACAGUUAGAAAUGACUGCUAAUACCGGAUGUGCCGAAAGGUAAAAGAUUUAUUGCCUGAAAGAGAGCUCGCGUCAGAUUAGCUAGUAGGUGGUGUAAGAGACUACCUAGGCUCCGAUCUGUAGCUGGUCUGAGAGGACGAUCAGCCACACUGGAACUGAGACACGGUCCAGACUCCUACGGGAGGCAGCAGUGGGGAA